GACGAACGCUGGCGGCGUGCUUAACACAUGCAAGUCGAACGGAAAGGCCCUGCUUUUGUGGGGUGCUCGAGUGGCGAACGGGUGAGUAACACGUGAGUAACCUGCCCUUGACUUUGGGAUAACUUCAGGAAACUGGGGCUAAUACCGGAUAGGAGCUCCUGCUGCAUGGUGGGGGUUGGAAAGUUUCGGCGGUUGGGGAUGGACUCGCGGCUUAUCAGCUUGUUGGUGGGGUAGUGGCUUACCAAGGCUUUGACGGGUAGCCGGCCUGAGAGGGUGACCGGCCACAUUGGGACUGAGAUACGGCCCAGACUCCUACGGGAGGCAGCAGUGGGGAAUAUUGCACAAUGGGCGGAAGCAUGAUGCAGCACCGCCGCGUGCGGGAUGACGGCCUUCGGGUUGUAAACCGCUUUCGCCUGUGACGAAGCGUGAGUGACGGUAAUGGGUAAAGAAGCACCGGCUAACUACGUG
rnacentral:rRNA from 1 species